CCUACGGGCGGCAGCAGUGGGGGAUAUUGCACAAUGGGCGAAACCCUGAUGCAGCGACGCCGCGUGAGUGAAGAAGUAUUUCGGUAUGUAAAGCUCUAUUAGCCGGGAAGAAAAAAGUCGGUACCUGACUAAGAAGCGCCUGCCAACUACGUGCCAGCAGCCGCGGUAAUUAGUAGGGGGCAAGCGGUUUCCGGAUUUACUGGGUGUAAAGGGAGCGUAGACGGCAAUACAAGUCGCACGUGAAAUACCCGGGCUCAAACUGGGGACUGCUUUGGAAACUGUAUGGCUGGAGUGCUGGAGAGGUAAGCGGAAUGCCUGGUGUAGCGGUGAAAUGCGUAGAUAUUAGGAGGAACACCAGUGGCGAAGGCAGCUUGCUGGACAGUAACUGACGUUGAGGCACGAAAGCGUGGGGAGCAAACAGGAUUAGAUACCCGGGUAGUC
rnacentral:rRNA from 1 species